rnacentral:lncRNA from 1 species
AGCAUCGGAUUGCGACGAGACUUGGCUCGUUGGAUUCAGGACUGCGAGAGGAAUCCACGAAGCCCUUACUUGCUGGAUUUGGUGAAGGUUAGCUUGGUCGAAUCCCUGUUGUACCUCACUGCUGAAAUUCGGGACUGAAACGGUGAUUUAUUGUCGUGUAGAGCUCGAGCGUGGACGAUUUCUGGACUCGGAGCUGUGCGUUUGAUCCAGCAAGUUGCUCUACACCAGUGGGAGUCCUUCGCUGCCAAGGAUUUGCAUUUUUAGGUGGGUUACAUCGGUUUUACUCCUAAGUGUUAUUAGUCGACAUGUAUAGAUCGUGAUUUCUACAAUAGUUGUUAGCUCAAAUUCAUGGAUUAUUGUUAGAAUGUAAAAUCUGAAUUUUUGAGCAUAUUUUAUCAAGUAAAUAGAUUAUACAUGUUGGACUUGGAAAUUGAAUUAGGAGAAAACCUGCGAUUUGGACCUGUCACCAGUUUUAACUACCUGAUUUAGCUCUAGGAGCCGUUAGAAAAUUGUACUGUCGCAGUUUCUUCGAGACGAGUACUCCAGGUAGUUUAGAAUGUAUUUACACUCGUGCUGGUUCGCCGAGUGGAUUUUUACAGGGUCGUUCAGGUCGUUUCGGACUGUUGGGUGCCGUCAGAGUUGACGGUGGACCCGUAUCGCCUUUUUGGCGUCAGAUUGUGCCGAGGGCACGUUACCUGUUGGUUGUUAGACCAGUUUGAGUCGAUUACUUGACUUUGGCUAGUUGGAGCCUGAUUGAGCUCGACAGAGAUACGCUGCAUACUCGGUUGGGUAGCGCCCACGAGUGCCACUCCGGAGUCAGGCUUGUGCUUUCGCGUUGGUGUCGCUCAUGCCAGUUGGACUUGCUCUCCACGGACCAGUUAGUGUGGAUAGAGCCUGAUAGUCGCAACGGGGCAGGGACGGGUGUAUUCACAGUCCCGGGGACGGGUAUGCUUACAGUCCCGAUUGGAUUGGGUCAGAUUUGACAUUUCCUACAGUUGGUUAGUGUAGAGCAUGAUAGUGUAGUGGAUGAUAGCGGUAGAGUAUGCUUCCUGCUUUCCUUCUAUCCUUGCUCCCUUCUGUAGACUUAGUGGGUGACCGAUGUUGUUUUGGGCGGUACCCACUGAGGACUACUUGUUUUUACAGUAGUUCUCACGCCCAGUUGUUACCUAUGUUUUGCAGAGCCACAGGUUCCGGCUGCUGCACCGUCUGCGGACCAGGAUCGAGGCAAGGGCGUCGCGAGUUAGAGCCCUACCCGACGUGCUGAUCUAGAGGUGCCCUACUGCAGGUAGAUGUUUUGUUUCGAGUUUAUGUACAUAGUUGACUUAACUCGCCAGUGCGAGUAGCUCUGUAUUUUGGAUUCGAACUAUGUAUAUGAAACUCUGUUUUAUUUAGCUUCAGUUUUCUCUAGCAGCUCUCUACUACUGUUUGUAGUAGUGUUUGAUUUACA